rnacentral:rRNA from 1 species
UACGGGGGGGGCAAGCGUUGUUCGGAAUUACUGGGCGUAAAGGGCUCGUAGGUGGCCAACUAAGUCAGACGUGAAAUCCCCAGGCUCAACUUGGGAACUGCGUCUGAUACUGGAUGGCUUGAAUUCGGGAGAGGGAUGCAGAAUUCCAGGUGUAGCGGUGAAAUGCGUAGAUAUCUGGAGGAAUACCGGUGGCGAAGGCGGCAUCCUGGACCGAGAUUGACACUGAUGAGCGAAAGCGUGGGGAGCAAACAGG